rnacentral:rRNA from 1 species
GACGAACGCUGGCGGCGUGCUUAAUACAUGCAAGUCGAACGGAAAGGCCCUGCUUUUGCUGCGUGCACGAGUGGCGAACGGGUGAGUAACACGCGAGUAUCCUGCCCUUGUCUUUGGGAUAACUUCUGGAAACUGGGGCUAAUACCGGAUAGGAGCUCCUGCUGCACGGUGGGGGUUGGAAAGUUUCGGCGGUUGUGGAUGGACUCGCGGCUUAUCAGCUUGUUGGUGGGGUAGUGGCUUACCAAGGCUUUGACGGGUAGCCGGCAUGGGAGGGUGACCGGGCACAAUGGUACUGAGAUACGGACCAGACUCCUACGGGAGGCAGCAGGCGGGAAUAUUGCACAAUGGGCGGGAGUCUGAUGCAGCAACGCUGCGUGCGGGAUGACGGCUUUCGGGUUGUGAACCGCUUUCGCCUGUGACGAAGCGUGAGUGACGGUAAUGGGUAAGGAAGCACCGGCUAACUACGUG